GAUGAACGCUGGCGGCGUGCCUAAUACAUGCAAGUCGAGCGAACGGACGAGAAGCUUGCUUUUCUGAUGUUAGCGGCGGACGGGUGAGUAACACGUGGAUAACCUACCUAUAAGACUGGGAUAACUUCGGGAAACCGGAGCUAAUACCGGAUAAUAUUUUGAACCGCAUGGUUCAAAAGUGAAGGACGGUCUUGCUGUCACUUAUAGAUGGAUCCGCGCUGCAUUAGCUAGUUGGUAAGGUAACGGCUUACCAAGGCAACGAUGCAUAGCCGACCUGAGAGGGUGAUCGGCCACACUGGAACUGAGACACGGUCCAGACUCCUACGGGAGGCAGCAGUAGGGAAUCUUCCGCAAAGGGCGAAAGCCUGACGGAGCAACGCCGCGUGAGUGAUGAAGGUCUUCGGAUCGUAAAACUCUGUUAUUAGGGAAGAACAUAUGUGUAAGUAACUGUGCACACCUUGACGGUACCUAAUCAGAAAGCCACGGCUAACUACGUG
rnacentral:rRNA from 1 species